UGCUACCCACGCUUUCGAGCCUCAGUGUCAGUAUGAUGCCAGGAAGCUGCCUUCGCCAUCGGUAUUCCUUCAGAUCUCUACGCAUUUCGCCGCUACACCUGAAAUUCUACUUCCCUCUCACCUACUCUAGCCUAACAGUUUCAGAUGCAGUUCCCAGGUUAAGCCCGGGGAUUUCACAUCUGACUUAUCAAGCCACCUACGCUCGCUUUACGCCCAGUAAUUCCGAUUAACGCUUGCACCCUCUGUAUUACCGCGGCUGCUGGCACAGAGUUAGCCGGUGCUUAUUCUGCAGCUAAUGUCAUCGUCUCCGGGUAUUAACCGAAGAGUCUUCUUCACUGCUUAAAGUGCUUUACAACCAAAAGGCCUUCUUCACACACGCGGCAUGGCUGGAUCAGGGUUUCCCCCAUUGUCCAAUAUUCCCCACUGCUGCCUCCCGUAGGAGUCCGGGCCGUGUCUCAGUCCCGGUGUGGCUGAUCAUCCUCUCAGACCAGCUACAGAUCGUCGCCAUGGUAGGCCUUUACCCCACCAUCUAGCUAAUCCGACUUAGGCUCAUCUAAUAGCGAGAGCAACAAGUUGCCCCCUUUCUCCCGUAGGACGUAUGCGGUAUUAAUACGAGUUUCCCCGUGCUAUCCCCCACUACUAGGUAGAUUCCUAAGUAUUACUCACCCGUCCGCCGCUCGACGCCUGAUAGCAAGCUAUCAUCGUUUCCGCUCGACUUGCAUGUGUUAAGCCUGCCGCCAGCGUUCAAUCUGAGCCAGGAUCAAACUCU
rnacentral:rRNA from 1 species